rnacentral:rRNA from 1 species
GAUAAGGGAAUUCGGCAAAUUAGAUUCGUAACUUCGGAAGAUGGAUUGGCUCUGAGGACAGUGCAGCCCGGUGACUAUGGAAGUCUUUAUUGAAAUCGUCGACUCGAGUACUCGUAUUCGGUUGAUGAUGGAUUUAGAGAAGUCUGUGGAAGCCACUGCAAUUAGCUGUUAACUCAGAACUGAAGCGAACAAAUGGUAUCUAACUGUUUAAUAAAAACAUAGCUUUAUGAUGGCCUGAAAAGGUGUUGACAUAAAGUGAUUUCUGCCCAGUGCUCUGAACGUUAAAGUGAAGAAAUUCAACUAUGCGCGGGUAAACGGCGGGAGUACCCUGACUCUCUUAAGGUAGCGAAAUACCUCGUUAAGUAAUUUUUGACGUGCAUGAAAGGAUUAAUGAGAUUCCAACUGUCCCUAUCUACCAUCUAGCGAAACCACAGCUAAGGGAACGGGCUUAGCAAACUCAUUGGAUAAAGAAGACCCUUUCGCGCUUGACUCUAGUCUGACUUUGUGACAUGACAUAUGAGGUGUAGUCUAGGUGGGAGGGGCAACCCGGUUAUGAAAAACCACUACUCAUAGAGUCAUUUUACUAAUUCCGUCAUGCAGUGACAUUUAUGAAAUAAGCGUAAGCGAACUAAGCGGAAGACAUAGUUAGAUGGGGAGUUUGGCUGGGGCGGUACUUCUGUUAAAUAAUAACGCAGGUGUCCUAAGGUAAGCUCAAAGAGAACAGAAAUCUCUUGUAGACCAAAAGGGGAAAAGCUUACUUGAUUCAGAUUUUCAGUAAAAAUAUGAACUGUGAAAGCAUGGCCUAUUGAUCCUUUAACUUUACAAGUUUUAAGCUAGAGGUGUCAGAAAAGUCACCGGAGGGAUAACUGACUUGUGGCAGCCAAGCGCCCAUAGCGACGUUGCUUUUUGAUCCUUCGAUGUCGGCUCUUCCUAUCAUUGUGUUGCAGAAGGCACAACGUGUCGGAUUGUUCACCCGCUAAUAGGGAACGUGAGCUGGGUUUAGACCGUCGUGAGACAGGUUAGUUUUUCUUUAAUGAGGAAAUGAUAUCGCGACAGUAAGUCAAUUAAGUACGAGAGGAACAAUUGAUUCAGAUAAUUGGUAACACGGUUGUUUGAGUAAACAGUGCCGUAAAGCUAUCAUCUGUUAGAUUAUAACUGAUUGCCUCUAAGUUAGAAUCUAUGCUGGAAAGCGGUGUCCCAACAACAAUAAACGAAAAAGAAUAGGCUUCGGUCAAGUUCUGAUUAUAGGUAGCGAGGCUGCAGUGUAUAAGCUGCAGUUUUACUCCUAGAAGAUUAAUUUCAAAUUAUUGUUGU